rnacentral:tRNA from 1 species
GCCUGGGUGGCUCAGUCGGUUGAAUGUCUGACUUCAGCUCAGGUCACGAUGUCGCGGUCCGUGGGUUCGAGCCCCGCGUCGGGCU